rnacentral:rRNA from 1 species
AUUGAACGCUGGCGGCAUGCUUUACACAUGCAAGUCGAACGGUAACAGGCCGCAAGGUGCUGACGAGUGGCGAACGGGUGAGUAAUGCAUCGGAACGUGCCCAGUCGUGGGGGAUAACUAUCCGAAAGGAUAGCUAAUACCGCAUACGAUCUGCGGAUGAAAGCGGGGGACCUUCGGGCCUCGCGCGAUUGGAGCGGCCGAUGUCAGAGUAGGUAGUUGGUGGGGUAAAGGCUCACGAAGCCAACGAGCUGUAGCGGGUGUGAGAGGACGACCGGCCACACUGGGACUGGGACACGGCCCAGACUCCUACGGGAGUCAGCAGUGGGGAAUUUUGGACAGUGGGCGCAAGCCUGAUCCAGCAAUGCCGCGUGCAGGAAGAAGGCCUUCGGGUUGUAAACUGCUUUUGUACGGAACGAAACGGCUCUGGUUAAUACCUGGGGCUAAUGACGGUACCGUAAGAAUAAGCACCGGCUAACUGCGUGCCAGCCGCCGCAGUAA